rnacentral:rRNA from 1 species
CCUACGGGAGGCAGCAGUGGGGAAUAUUGGGCAAUGGGCGCAAGCCUGACCCAGCAACGCCGCGUGAAGGAAGAAGGCUUUCGGGUUGUAAACUUCUUUUCUCAGGGACGAAGCAAGUGACGGUACCUGAGGAAUAAGCCACUGCAAACUACGUGCCAGCAGCCGCGGUAAUACGUAGGUGGCAAGCGUUAUCCGGAUUUACGGGGGGAAAAGGGCGUGAGGGCGGGACUGAAAGGCAGAUGUAAAAACACGGGCUCAACCUGUGGCCUGCAUUUGAAACUGUAGUUCUUGAGUACUGGAGAGGCAGACGGAAUUCCUAGUGUAGCGGUGAAAUGCGUAGAUAUUAGGAGGAACACCAGUGGCGAAGGCGGUCUGCUGGACAGCAACUGACGCUGAGGCGCGAAAGCGUGGGGAGCAAACAGGAUUAGAUACCCGGGUAGUC